rnacentral:rRNA from 1 species
AUUGAACGCUGGCGGCAGGCCUAACACAUGCAAGUCGAACGAGUGGCGGACGGGUGAGUAAUGCCUGGGCAACUGCCUGAUGGAGGGGGAUAACUACUGGAAACGGUAGCUAAUACCCCAUACCAUCAGAUGUGCCCAGAUGGGAUUAGCUAGUAGGUGGGGUAAAGGCUCACCGAGGCGACGAUCCCUAGCUGGUCUGCGAGGAUGACCAGCCACACUGGAAUUGCGACACGGUCCAGACUCCUACGGGAGGGAGCAGUGGGGAGUCUUGCACAAUGGGCGCAAGCCUGAGGCAGCCAUGCCGCGUGUGUGAAGAGGGCCUUCGGGGUGUAAAGUACUUUCAGCGAGGAGGCGUUACCCGCAGAAGAAGCACCGGCUAACUCCGUGCCAGCAGCCGCGGUAAUUC